rnacentral:rRNA from 1 species
GACGAACGCUGGCGGCGUGCUUAACACAUGCAAGUCGAACGGAAAGGCCCUGCUUUUGUGGGGUGCUCGAGUGGCGAACGGGUGAGUAACACGUGAGUAACCUGCCCUUGACUUUGGGAUAACUUCAGGAAACUGGGGCUAAUACCGGAUAGGAGCUCCUGCUGCAUGGUGGGGGUUGGAAAGUUUCGGCGGUUGGGGAUGGACUCGCGGCUUAUCAGCUUGUUGGUGGGGUAGUGGCUUACCAAGGCUUUGACGGGUAGCCGGCCUGGGAGGGUGACCGGCCACAUUGGGACUGAGAUACGGCCCAGACUCCUACGGGAGGCAGCAGUGGGGAAUAUUGCACAAUGGGCGGAAGCCUGAUGCAGCAACGCCGCGUGCGGGAUGACGGCCUUCGUGUUGUAAACCGCUUUCGCCUGUGACGAAGCGUGAGUGACGGUAAUGGGUAAAGAAGCACCGGCUAACUACGUG